CCAUCAGUGUAUCCUCGGUUAUAGCUCCUCCAGAGAGCCUCCUCGACGCUCGAUGCUCGAUCCUCGGUGUGCAUUUAGAGAAAUGAGACGUCCUUCAAAAUGGCGCGCUGAAAUUCAUUUCCGGGUCACUACCGGAGGACCGAGGAGUCGAGGAGGGGAAAUUUGAGUAUUGAGAAGCCUCUAUAGACUUAUAUGUCUAUGAUUAUACAUCCAUGGAACGACCAGACACAUGGCAGCAACGUUCCCAUCUGCUUCAUUCAUUUCUCCUGUUCAACAGAUAAUAAACCUGGUUGACAAGAAGGAAGUCGUUUUCAUUCGACACAACGCAGAGAUACAUGUGGCGUCAAUCCAGACCGGUUACACAAAGAAUGAUAAAUAGAGAAAACAGAUAUAAUUUGCUUAUUAUCUGAUUACCAGCUCUGCACAGCGGACUUGUAACACUAGCAGCAGUGGAGAUGGAGCAUCAGAACCUGGAGAAUACAGCAGCAACAACAAGGAUCCAUUUGGAGAUAGCUGCCUGCGCCUAGCAGCAAGAACCUCCAUCUGUGCCUGCACCCAGGUCAAGAUCUACCGUGGCUCAAGGGCCUUCACCAGAGCCAUCACCAUCAAGGACCAGAGGACCAGCAUCACUACAGCAGCCUCCACCUCCAUCUGUGCCUGCCACAAGAUUAAGAUACACCUCGGUACAAAGGCCUCCACCACAGCCAUCACGAUCAACCCAGCCAGCAAAGAAGUCUCGCCUAGCACACCUCCCUCCCUCCGACACAGCCACCAGCAGCCCAUGCACCAUCACCCCCACCUACACAGCAGCCAGACCCGGGUUGCGUUCCGAUAAUCCAAAAAUUAGCUCCUAAGUUCUAACCCUAUCUCCUAUUACUUGACC